rnacentral:rRNA from 1 species
CGCGGCCUAUCAGCUUGUUGGUGAGGUAACGGCUCACCAAGGCAUCGACGGGUAGCUGGUCUGAGAGGACGAUCAGCCACACUGGGACUGAGACACGGCCCAGACUCCUACGGGAGGCAGCAGUAGGGAAUCUUGCGCAAUGGGCGAAAGCCUGACGCAGCAACGCCGCGUGGGGGAUGAAUGCCUUCGGGUUGUAAACCCCUUUCAGCAGGGACGAAAAUGACGGUACCUGCAGAAGAAGCUCCGGCCAACUACGUGCCAGCAGCCGCGGUAAUACGUAGGGAGCGAGCGUUGUCCGGAAUUAUUGGGCGUAAAGAGCUCGUAGGCGGUUCAGUAAGUCGGGUGUGAAAACUCAAGGCUCAACCUUGAGACGCCACUCGAUACUGCUGUGACUCGAGUCCGGUAGAGGAGUGUGGAAUUCCUGGUGUAGCGGUGAAAUGCGCAGAUAUCAGGAGGAACACCAGCGGCGAAGGCGGCACUCUGGGCCGGUACUGACGCUGAGGAGCGAAAGCAUGGGGAGCAAACAGGAUUAGAUACCCUGGUAGUCCAUGCCGUAAACGUUGGGCACUAGGUAUGGGAUCAUAUCAACGGAUUCCGUGCCGUAGCUAACGCAUUAAGUGCCCCGCCUGGGGAGUACGG